UAAACUACAAGCAUGCUUUCUCAAACCUUGGAAAAGAUAUCCACCUGUCUGCAGAUUUGGCCUGCAUUACUCCUGCAUCUGAGCCUCCUGCAAGCUUGCUUUGGGAAUGCCUACUAGUUUUGCUGGUGCGAGCAGAGGAAUCAUUCAUUCUCAGCCAUCCUUUGCUGCUGUGACACAAGGAGAGGUGUGCUGCCUUGCUGAGCUUAACCCCAGGACGAUGAGACCUGUCUGCACCCUGCAACAACAAAAAACAGCAGGUCAGUGGGGCUCACUCUGCUCUCAAGAGGCUGGUGUGUUCCUUGUGUCUGGGGACGCUGAUUUAAGCUGUGAGUGGUUGGCAAUUUCACAAGUAAAGCAAUAGUGUGUGCAUCCCAAGAGGAAGGAACGAAGGCUCUGAAUGAAAGCGAGCACCUCAAUGUCAGGUAGAAGCUGCUCAGUACUGUUUGGAAAGUGGACAGGUUGCUGAGUUGCAGUUCCAAAGCUGAGCUGUAUUCAAGUAAGCAGCCCACUCCUAAAAGCAAGUUCCUUGCCUCAACAACCCCCUGCAGCAUUAAGAGGAUCAGUACUCAGAGUGCUGUAUCCCCACCUGACUGCCUCAUUCGCUUCUCAAGGAACAGAAGAAGUGGAGCAAGAGCCAAAAAAAACCAAACACCCAAGUAUUCCUCACUUCUUUGCUACCUUUAAAAAAGUGGCACCAAUUUAAUUAGUUUUUCACCCUCCAGGGCUGUAAGUUCUUGUAUAAUUAGAUGAUGGGUAAUGAUCAUACAACAUUUUGUUCUCAUAUAGCACACGGGUUCCAUCACUGAGAUUGUUUCAUAGGUAUUUCCAGUUACAGCUCCAGGCUGUCACCCAGCAGUGCUAUAGGGAGCCCUGGCCUCUCCCUCCCCUUUUACAAGACCUUCUUACUAUCUGCCAGCAUUACAGGUGCUUGCAUAAAUCGCCUCAGCUUUUAGCAGACUUGCCAAAGGGCAGUUUGAAGUAGUGCUGACACACACUACAGUGGGAAAAGGCAAAACUGGAAUGUUCCAAGGGAGCUGAGUGGCUGGGCACUCCCCAAAAUAUCGCUUCUCAUGUCUUUAAUGCCACCCUUGUCCUUCGCGCUUUGGCAGGAAAGCCAACGUCAAGCUCACACUGUGUGAUUCGGAAUGGGAAUUUAUUGGACAACAGUGAAGUUCAGAUUUGGAACAGCCCCCAGAAGGGCUGCUCUGCUAACGAAAGCGCCUGAUGCAAGUCAGGACUUACAGGAUGUACUUGUGUUGAGGUCAGCAACUGUCAAUUAAUUAAUUCAUUAAAAUACUUGGAGAGAUUUAAAAUGGGCACGCAGCGCAAACAUGCAUGCGAGAGGAUCCUGAAACCACUUCAGCUUUAGGGCAAACAAAAACCAGAUGGGAGAUGGGUGCGGUGAUGUAAAGGUGUAGGCAAUGGGCUGGUAUCUAUCAUUAUUCCUGCAGCUACAAUUUAAUUGCUGUACCUCAGUUUUUUUUAAGUUACGAGAAGGAGCACAAGUUCUGCAGUUAGAAGGUGCCCCUCAGCAUCAUCCUAAAGCUGUUAGAGAUGCACGAUGUGCUUUAUUCAUCACCUAGAAGAGAACAUGUUUCCCUCGACUUUAGUAUCAAGAACUGCUUUCAGAAAAACCCCUUCAAACGAAGAUGCAAAGUCUUACACUUCCUCUCCGCCCUGAGCAUCUCUUUGCACCAAAAACACCAAAGCAGAACCCUGCAUGUGGGCACAAGGAAGGCCCUGCUCCAGCUGUUGGGGAUGUGCAGAUGUGCGUUAUGACCUUGGUUUGUGCACUUAGUUGGGAACAACGGGAUGCAACAACAGGUUAAAGAAAGGUAAGGUACCCACCUGUGGGAUGUUAUUUAAAGCCUAUCUAUCUCAAUACUGUAAUGAAGCAGAGGUGAGAGGCUACAGUAGCACCUACUCAAAAAAGCAGUAUUUUUUUUUCCCUUGAGCUCUGUGAUGACAAUGACUUAUCCCAAAAGGACAGCGCAUAAACUGUAGGGAGGAAUUCACUAUUGAAAACACUGACAAGCAGACAGUGGCUGAGCUUUCCCCACAAAAGCCAAGCCAUGUCAGGCAAACCAAGCCAAAGCAGGGAGAGUGGGGAGCGUGUGUUAUCAUGGCUGCACAGAGGCAAAGCCUGGCUUUCUCCUCACCUACAAAUGAAAUCAGAAUUGUAGGUGGGAUCUUUUCUUCCCCUGUCUCUUGAAACCCUGUCUGCAACCUGUAUCUAAGAUGGCACACAGCUGGCCUAGCCCUCAAGACGGAUCCACCCAGAGCCAAACUACACGUUGGGUUACUGUAUGAAAACCAAAGUCAUUGUCUGCUGGAGACACAGUGCCUGGGCAAUAUCCAUACAGAACAGCAGGUACAAACGUGCUACGAUGUAGAAGCUGAAUGAGCUCACUUCAAAGCCAGAUAAAUGGAUUUCUUCCACAACAGAACGCCAUUAUGUGGCUAUCACACAUAGCCAGGGUCACUGAAAUCAAGCAGGCAUAUAGCUUGAACUAGGCAAGAUUCCUCUCCAAGGCUACGUAUUAAUAUAAAUAUAUAUAUACAUACUCACACACACAUAUAUAUAUAUACACGUUAAUUUAAACUUGGAUAGGAGGAGGCAGAUGUUGGCUAGGGAAUGGAGAUGGGGUGCUUUUCUCACUCUGUGACAGCGAUCAAUAGGAAACAUGUUACUCUGUCACAUCACAUUCCCUCAGCAUAAGCAGCUGGUGAUAGUUUCAUGAUGAAAGUUAUGUUAGAAAAAAGCCUGACAAAACUGCGAUUUCCCAAAGGAAACAAAGCAAACGUCAUCUACUUCGAAAAAAAAUCUGAUUUUAUUUUGAUAUUGCAAAGACCUGUCCAUUUAAAUAGAUGUUUAUUUCCAUUCAUGGUCUCAACCAGCGCUGCGUGUUAACAUGCUGUUCAGAGCUGUAUAAAAAAGCCAUUUGUGUUACAUAGGUUUAACAUCCUAGAACACUGCGGGAGGGGUUUGAAGCGGCUUAACAUUAAAAAUAGGAUAGUCCCAAAAAAACUUACAACUGAUGCAGCAUCUUCUAGUCUAAUUUGAUAGGAGCUGAAGCACAUUGCAGAUAUAACCAAAGUUAUUUGGUCUUUAAAAAAAAACACACACAAAACCAAAAAACCAUUAAAAGCAGAUCACUUUCAUAUAGUGCUUCAAUAGUGAAGCUGUCAGCUGAGAGAACAAGGGAACAAACACACGCUCCUGUGUGCUAACACAUACACAAACACCGAGCCCAACUGGAACAACCCCAUUCAGCGUGUGGAUAUCGCAUUCAUUCUUCUGAAUUCAGGACAGCUGUAAUUUAAUACACUUUGUCUUUCCUCUCCCCACCCCAAAUAAAUACAUGGUCUUCAUGAAAUCCUAAGAUACCGUAUAAUCAACUGACAUUUCUUUCUAACGGUGCUGUGAAGUUCUCUUGUGAAAGGGCCAAAUUCCAAAGCCUUCAUUCAAGAUGACAGGCACGUACCUGACCAAAUGAUGAAGAGGGGAGAACGUGGCUUAGAAAAGGGGUUUGGGUCCAGGUCUGGAUUUGUACAACUGAUCAGGUGGCAGAUUGUCAUUCAAAAAAAAAAAAAAAAAAAAAAUUAAAAAAAAUGUUUUUUAAGUCAUUCUUUGGUUUAUUUACAUGAUUCUCAACGCUGUCCAGAAAGCCCAGAGACAGUCACAUGAGAAACCAGAACUCUAAAGCAAGCGCAGCAUUCUUAAAUCUCAUGUAUUAAAUGCUCAGAAGACUAGAGGAAUUCAGAACACCCCUUACAUUCAUGUCCCCAAAAAUCUACUAACUGCAUGAGUGCAUGCACUGAGGCAUGGCCGGCAUGCCUGCAAAUCCAUAUUGUUCAAGUUAAGAGUAAAUAUAGAUGCAAAAACCCCACCCACCUAUAAUUAAAUGGUCAUUACUAGCAAUACUGUAGCAUCUGUCUUGUUGUUUAAGAAAUGCAGACACGGUCUCUGCCUGUUUGGCUCCCUUGGCCAAAAGGAAGCUGUCUGCUCCAUUUAGAAAGAAAGCGACUUUGAAGAAUCCAAGGGAGUUUAAUAUUUCCACGUUCCAGCGGUCAAUUAUUCAUGUAAAGAUGUAGACAAAUGGCAAGUGUAUGAAAGCACAUCUCGUACGUUCCAAGGUUUGGAAGUCAAAAGCAGGUCUUAGCUUCCUCACGUUUAAAUGUUACGGUAGGCUUGGAAAACGAAGGAAGAAGCAAUGUAAUAUUUCCAUGAAGAGCAAGUAGAACUAAAUCUAACCGGCAUUCGUAUGUGAGCAGUUUUUGCUAUGCUUUGUGUAAGGCAGAUUUUAUUGUGCUGAUAGUUACCGGUUUGCUGGGGGGAAAGAAAAUACAGGCAACUCUGCUCAGAGAAGAUGGCUGAUAAUUACUAGUGACAACUGCUAGUUUUCAGUACAACUCAGCUUUAAUGUACUUUCUGGAAACAGCAUUUUCGUCAUUGGUUUUCACUUCCUUCCCCAUCCCACCUAAAGUAUCCAAAAAAUCAGAAUGAGUUGCGGAUAUUUACCAACCAAUGUCUCCUCUUUGAAUGCUAUUUUUAACUAGAACAAACACGGCUCAUUCUUUAUAACCUACCGCCAGUGGUUGUUUAUAAACAUCUGCUUGCUGCAAUAAACACCGGUCAUUGAAAUAUUCAUUCGCAAGAACUACUUGGCACUAGGUUAAUAUACUUGUAAAGUUUAAUACAAGUGCUUCUGAUGUACAUACAAGCACUUAAAAACAUUUUAAAACUUCGUUUGGGGAGUUUUAAUAUCUUUAAUUACAGUUUUCACAAGCAUUUCUGAAAGUAUUCAAUCUCUUUAGAAGUUCAGAGGCUCCUCUCAGCACAUCUAAAUAAGUUUCUCAACAGUUACAGAACAGCUAACGCGACAUUCUUGCUCCCUGUGCUGAGAUAACACAGUACCAAAACGUAGCUACAAAAAGAGGCAUUUUUGGUCGGACUGACCUCCAGCCAUCCCUUAACAGAAAAGCAACACGGCUCAAACCUGUCUCCUCCCUCCAAAGUAAAAAAAAAAAAGAAAGACAUCUAAGGCCACAAAUUUACUUUAGCCAGAAUAUCCGGUGUUCCCUGGUUUGUGGCAACUGUGUACAUGCCCGCUUAGAGAAAUACAGUAUGGAAGCCCCACCACCUCUAAGGGUUCUAAUACAUCACCUCAGAAGCCAGUUUUAGGCAGCAGGGCAUAUAGAACCACGUUACAUCGACGAAGUGUGUUAAAGCCAUUGCAGCUAGUUGAACCAGUUUCUAACUAUGCUUAAUCAAAAUUCCUUAUUGCAGGAAAGGAGAGGGGAAAAAAAAAAAAGUCUUAA